GGCCCCAUGGUUUAGUGGUAUAAUUCUCGCUUAGGGUGCGAGAGGUCCCGGGUUCAAUUCCCGGUUGGGCCC
rnacentral:tRNA from 1 species